UUUGUUGAGCUUAAUUUAUAACAUGUAUGAUGUACGUACCUUGCGGAGUGAUCCAUACUGGGCACUGAGUUUGAGAAGCCAGAGGGCUGGGAAGUCAAGGCUGGUGGCGGUUGUGAUGCUACCAGCUUGAGGGUUGUAGAUGUCAGGUGAUGAAUUCUGACCAAUGUUUUGGCGAAGUCUCAUUGUGCAAAUGGUCUCAUCAAUGCCAUUUCUGCUCCUUUUGCUUUGGCGUUGGCAACCUUUGUCUGUCUCCACGCACUGUGGCUGCUCUUCCUCAUCAUCAUCAUCUUCUUCUUGCUGUGGCUUCCUCAUGGCUGGAGCUGUGACUCUUAGACCUCCUUUCACUGUCACAAUGGCUCCACUAUCCUCCUCUUCGUUCUCACCUUGUAGGUUUCUCACUAUCUGCAUGUUCACGCCGAACGCUUCUUUCAAGAAUUCAGGGGCGAAGCCACUCAAUAUGUUGCUUCCUUCGUUUUCUUCUUCUUGUUGCUUUCCUUUCUGGCUUUGGGAACCUCCUUGCUGCUGCUGCUGAUAUUUUAGAAACUCUUGCUCUUGGUUCCCAGCAAGAUAGAAUCUCUGCCAAGAAUUGUCAAAACAAAUAGUUGUCAAUCCGUAACCAGCUAGUAUUAGAACUUAAGAAUUCUAAUCUUAACGUUACAAUGUAGUCCAGUUUCCUUUUUUUAUCAGCUACAAUAUUGUCCAUGUAUUUCAAGACAAGAACCAAAUUGGAUAAAAAAACACAACUAUAAGGAUCCAAUUGGCAUAUUUUAAUCUAUAGGUACUAAAUUAGAAAGUGCAACUCCACGAACUAAAAUGAUAUUUAAACCUUUAAAGAAUUAUAAUAUCUAAUAUUGCUAUGUGGCUCACCCUAGGCAUCUGGUCGAGCUGGUUCUCCAAGCUGUUGGUGUCAAUAAUAGAAACGGCAACAACAGGAGUGUCUUCAUUGUUGUACAUCCACCAUGCAACACCAGUAGGCACUGCGAUCAAAUCACCCUCUCUGAAGCGAUGUACCUUUUGGUGACGGUCUUGGGGCCUCUGGCUUCGUCCUCGUUGCUGAGAUUCUUGCGGCUCUUGAUAAGUGCUAGGACAACCCGGGAAUAUCAUGCCAAAAAUACCAUUACCUAUUCAUAUAUAUUACACAACAACACAAAGAAAAAAAAAACAUUAGCAUAACCAUUUUCUUUUCAAAAUGCAUGGUUUCACAAAACUGAGAAAUUGAAACAAGUUAUUAUUAAUUUGAAUAUAUAAGAUAGGUUGGACGGUUAAGAAGAAAAACAAAAGCCACAGUUUCAAUCAAUUUUACUAACAAAAACUAACCAUUAACAUCUGAUAAAAAAAAAAUUAAACAAGAUUAUGGACCUUGUUGUAUGUAGAUUUCCUGGGGACCGUUGGUGUAGGAAGGUCUACGAAGGGCAUUGCGGUUAAGGGUGCAGCGAGAGAGGGCAACACCGGCACACUGGAAUGGCUUGUUGUUAGGGUUCCAGGUCUCAAUGAACCCACCUUCCGACUCUAUACGGUUAUCCGGUUUGAGGGCAUUCAGCUUUUGGAUCUGGCACUCAUUUUGCUGUGCCUGCUCUCUCAGAGCGAAGCAGCCACUGAAAAGAAGGAAACAAAGGGAAAGAACAAGCUUGGCCAUGGUGAUGAGUGUUCAAAGACAAUGGAGAGAAUGUUUGUGUUGUGAAGCGGAGAACCUGAGGCGUGGUUAUUUAUAGGGAAGAGAGGAAGGUGGGUGAGGGACACGUCACAGGAGUGGGGUGCUGAGCUUGAGACAUUCUUCAGUAUGCAUGGCUAUGGAAGCCUUGUGUGUUACACCUCAUUAAGUUCAUGGGUGUGAGGUGGCUUCGACAGUUCGACAUCAACAUUAUGUGACAAAUACCAAGUGUGUUUGUAUUGCAUGCAAUUGCCAGAAAACGGUGGUGGAGAGGGGGACCAUGGUUUCAUUUCAUGUUCGCGGGUUUAUGACAUAUGAAAUUAUAUGAAUACACCGUGUGACAAUGAUGGGAUCCUCAAAGUGAGAAGAAGGGCCGUCCAAAAAUGACCUCACUCUAGGGAUAGAGAAAUUAUUAGGUGUUAUGAAAUUAUCACUAUUCAUGGUUUUGACAGAUCUUUAUGUGAUACUAGUUACUCAAUUUUUUUUAAUUUAAUUAGGAAAUAAUUAAUCAUACUUUAAUUUACAUAUCAUAAAGAUUAGUGGAGAAUAAUUUGUACUGUAUAUAUAAUAAUUUCUUGGAUAGAGAAAUUAUAUAUUAGGGACAUUUUGUUUUUUGGAUUAUCCUCGUUUUGAUUGUCAAUAUAAAAAAAAAGUAAGCGAAAAUAAGAAGAAAAUGACUAAGUUUUAAACAAUUAUAUUAGUUAAACAAAAAUACUUAUAUGUUUUAGGUCUAUAAUAAAUAUGAUUAAUUUUAUUUUGAGUUCUAAUUUUAAUUUUUUUUUCUUUGUAUUGGAUUCUUAUAUCUUAAAAAAUUUAUUUUGACUCUUUAUCAUAGGUAGGUUAGUAAUGACAUAUCAAUCAAUUAACAAAUUACAAAGUCAGAGUUUAAAAACUGUGGGUAUUUCUGAUAGAAAAUAAUCUGGAUUGUCUCUAACUCAUUAGCCUCUCGAUUUUGUCAGGUUCGGGCUUAGUGAAUGCAACGGAUUCUUGGGUGUGUUCCAAUCUGCGUUGUGGCUUGGUUUCUUUUGCGGCCUCAAACACUUUCUUCUUCUCCGGAGGAAGUUUUUUAAACCCUCAUCCGAAUAAAGUAACCCCAUGUAAGCAAUUUUUAAACCCGUAUAGUCCGAAUAAACAAUUUGAAACCGCCCGAUUGUGUCUUUUUAUUUAUUCCUUUAGUGUGGGUUUGGUUCGAGCUUCUCUCGGGUUUAUGCUCAGCCCUAGCUACUACCAUUAUUCAUUUAAAAAAUAAGUUACAAUUUGUGACAGUUUGAAAGCUGUCAGAAUCAAUUAAAACAAAAAAAAUUAAAAAAUUAAAUGUAUUUUGAUCCUCCUAUUUUAUCAAAUCCAUAAAUUUGGUUUUUUAGUUUUAAGAUUUUAAAAUUGAGACCGUUAAUUCCUCUCUUUUCUAAAAUCAGGAAAUUAAAUUUUUCUGUCAAAUUAGUUGUGUUGACCAAAUGUUGACUGUUAAAAUUUUCUUUCUUCUUUUUCCUUUUGCUUUCACAUAAACCUCAGUCUUAUUUGUUCAAGGAAUUAUGCACAUUUUGUGCCCACUGUCCAUGGCUGCCAAAAGUUUCUUGGUUAUUCGAGUCAAUUAAUGCAACAAUCUGGAUAGAUUAAUUGUAGUUCUAUGCAAUGAUUAAGAACUAUCAAAGCAUUAAGAACUUGUAGCUCCUCACACACGAGAAAUAAGAAAUGGACAAGAAUGAGAAUGAGGACUCGAGCCUAAAAUUUAAGGCCAUGGACACCAAAUAUACGGGAAUGAUUGCACAUUUUGCAGGAAAUAAGUAGUGAGCCACAAACAUAAUUCCAUUUAUUCAAAGAAUAGUUAAGUUAUCAUCUUUAUAUAUUUUAAACACUUAAAUUAGCACCUUUACAUUAAAAGAACGCACACUAAUAUUAUUAAAAAAAGUAUUCAUCAUUUUGUAGGCCAACUUAAAAUAUAAUAUAUUAUAUAUAUAUAUAUAUAUAUAUAUAUAUAUAUAUAUAUAUAUAUAUAUAUAUAUAUAAUAUUAAAAUACUUAAUGUUUCUCACCUUUUUUAUGUUUGUUAUCAUAUAAAAAAACAUAGAUGAAUUUUAAAAAGUAAAUUAUUUACCAUCAAUUUAUAUAUUUGUUAAGCUACACAUAUUUUUUUAUUAGAGUUCUUUUUUUGUGUGUGUAAAAAUAUAUGUGAUGUCCUGUCAUUCUAUGUUUUACACAUUAGCUAUGCGAGAGUGUCUGUGCUCAUAUUGUGUCUGAUGUCCAUGUCGAAUUUCAAGCUUCAAAAUAUCAACUAACUAACUUGUGAGUCAAAUUACCGAUUGGGGGUAAUUUUUUUUAAAAUUUAUCAUUUGAGGAUAGAUUUUAAAUUAAUAUUCGUUUAAGGUUUAUGAAUUGAAAGUCAUGAAAAUGAAAUUAAUAUUUCUUGAAACCAAUAUCUAUUUAGUGUGGACAAUGGACAUCAAGACAUCAUAUGCAACACCAUCCUUGACUCUGUUGAAAAUUAAAAUCCCAGAAAAACACAUUUUUUAGCUCCCAUGUUAAAUUUGGAGCGAUGUUUUAUGUUUGAAGACACAAAGCACAAUGGUCCAAAUACUCUCGAACUUUCCAAGUUGGGUUGAGCUCCAAGUCAUGAAGAACCUGAUAAGACGUCUUCAUUCUUAAAGUUAAUCUUCAACUAUUGGGUCUGCAAUACUUUCAAUUUUAGUCUUCUACAUCAUGUCCUGUCCUGCCAACACUUCCUAAAGAUAUCAUCGAUCAAGCUAACUAUCAUUGGACCAAUCGUUAUUGUUUGCCUUUUGUUUUGCAAGAAGCUCAGAAGAAAGAAAAAAAAAAGAGAGAGAGAGAGAGACAAAAGAAGAUUUGACAGAAAACUCAUUGGAAUUUCUCCUUUUAUUCCCGCAAAAGUUUCGUGACUCAUUAUAGAGAGUACUUACAUUAUUAUUUUACAGUGAACAAAAGGCAAGCUAAAGCCUUUGUUUUCUUAUUCAUUAUUAUUAUUAUUAUUUAUUGGUUGCUAGCACUAUUGCCAAAAAGACAAAAGUGGGGUAGCACAUACAAAAAGGGCUCUAAGCCACAGCUCUCUUCUGAGACUCCUGAGGUGGAACCAGGAACUUGAAAGGGUUGUUGUUCUUUAUCUGCCUGGCCUGCUGGCUUUUUAGGUUGAAAGUGUGCUGAAUCACUUCCUCUGGUAAUGCGUUCAACAAUGAGUUUGCCCCUGCAAGAGUGCCGAUCAUGGGUGUAUCAUUGGUCUUGAAUGACACAUACUCGAAGUUGUCACUCUGUGAUCUUGCAGCCACCACAAAGUUUUGUGGCACGAUCAGCACCCGUCCCUCUUGCAGCUCUCCAUCAAACACUCUCUCACCGUUGCAAUUCACCACUUGUAUCAAUGCCCGUCCAUUCAAUGCGUAUAUUAUGCUGUUCGCGUUCAGGUUGUAGUGUGGCACGAACAUUGCAUUCUGCAUCGUACAUCAAUGCAUGCAAGAGUCACAACAAAUUCAUCCAAUAUUUUUAUAAUAAUACUAUUUUUUGUUUUGCUUUUUUCAUCAAUCUUUUCUUUUUUUUUCUCUCUAUUUCUAUAUAUAAAGACAGAAAAGAUAGAAUCCAUGCAAGUGUUAAGAUAACUCCGUCACACAUUUUAUAGUGUAUCUAAGAUUAUUAUUAAUCAAUAAAUCAUUAGUCUAAGUAUAAAUAAUGUAAUUAAGAUGAAAGACUCCAUUAAAAGUGAUCAAACAAAUUUUCUAAAAAAAUUAAUUAUCAAUAAAAUUAAUAAAUAUUUGGCAACAAAUAUUAGUUUAAUGUAUAAAUGUAUGUUGAUCUUUGAUGAAUGAUGUACGUACCUUGCGGAGAGAUCCAAACUCAGCACUGAGUCUGAGCCACGAGAGGGCUGGGAAGUCAAGGCUGGUGGCGGUUGUGACGCUACCGGCUUGAGGGUUGUAGAUGUCAGGUGAUGAAGUCUGGCCAAUGUUGUGGCGAAGUCUCAUGGUGCAUAUGGUCUCGUCAAUGCCAUUUCUUCUGCUUUUGCUUUGGCUUCCUCGGGGGCGUUGGCAGUGUUUGUCUUUACCCUUGCACUGUGGCUUCUCAUCCUCUUCUUCUUCUUCCUCUUCCUGGGGUCUUUGUUGCUGCUCGUCCGUGGGUGGUUUUAUCACGCUCAGACCUCCUUUCACUGUCACAAUGGCUCCCUUGUCUUCCCCUUCGUUCUCUCCUUGUAGGUUUUUCGCUAUCUGCUUGUCCACGCUGAAUGCAUGUUCCAAGAAUUCCAGGGUGAAGCCACUCAAUAUGCUGCCUCCUUCGUUUUCUUCUUCUUGCUGAUGCUUUCCUUUCUGGCUUUGAUGACCUCCUUGCUCUUGCUGAUAUUUUAGAAACUCUUGCUCUUG
rnacentral:lncRNA from 1 species